AACGAACGCUGGCGGCAGGCUUAACACAUGCAAGUCGAACGCCCCGCAAGGGGAGUGGCAGACGGGUGAGUAACGCGUGGGAAUCUACCUAGUUCUACGGAACAACACAGGGAAACUUGUGCUAAUACCGUAUACGCCCUACGGGGGAAAGAUUUAUCGGAAUUAGAUGAGCCCGCGUUGGAUUAGCUAGUUGGUGGGGUAAUGGCCUACCAAGGCGACGAUCCAUAGCUGGUCUGAGAGGAUGAUCAGCCACACUGGGACUGAGACACGGCCCAGACUCCUACGGGAGGCAGCAGUGGGGAAUAUUGGACAAUGGGCGAAAGCCUGAUCCAGCCAUGCCGCGUGAGUGAUGAAGGCCUUAGGGUUGUAAAGCUCUUUCAGUAGGGAAGAUAAUGACGGUACCUACAGAAGAAGCCCCGGCUAACUUCGUGCCAGCAGCCGCCGUAAGAC
rnacentral:rRNA from 1 species